rnacentral:lncRNA from 1 species
GUUUGGGAGGUGUGUGGUUAAAUUCCAACUACUGUGGGGUUUCUGACACUACUUCUUUUUUUUUUUUUUUUUGAAGCUGGUAACAUGUUUUAUUGGGUUGGGGCGGCAACCACAGCCUGGCUGGGGGUGGGGCCGGCCCUCACAGGUUGUUGAGUUCCAGCAGGGUCUGGUCCAAGGUCUGGUGAAUCUCGACGUUCUCCUCCUUGGCACUGGCCAAGGUCUCUUCUAGGUCAUCGAUGGUUUUCUCCAACUUUGCCACAGACCUCUCAGCAAACUCUGCUCUCUCCUCUGAGCGCUCCAGCUCUCCUUCCAGGAUCACCAGCUUCCUGGCCACCUCUUCUCCUCCUCAACCAGCUGAAUGCGGCGGUUCAGAGAGGCCUGCUCCAGUUUCUCCUGGGCCUCCUUCACGGAUUCAGAAUACUUUUCCACCUCAUCCUCUGUCCCCUUCAGCUUCUUCUGGAGGGCCUGCUGCUCCUCCUCCAGCUGCUUGCAACGGUCCUCAGCUUGCUUCUUGUCAGCUUCAGCAUCUGCAUCUUCUUCUUGAUGGCGUCCAUGGCUGCGGUGGGGGGUGGGCAGGCCGGCAGGCGGUGAGGACCGGACGGACUGGGCUGGCUGAGCGGACUGGGUGCACGGGUGGAAGGCGAGGAGGGCCAAGCCUCUGACACUACUUCUAAAAAUAGUUAUAUUCUUGUAAAAAUAAAUGCACAUGGAAAUGAACAAUGUAUACUAAG